rnacentral:rRNA from 1 species
UAGGGAAUCUUGGACAAUGGGCGAAAGCCUGAUCCAGCCAUGCCGCGUGAGUGAUGAAGGCCUUAGGGUUGUAAAGCUCUUUCGCCAGGGAAGAUAAUGACGGUACCUGGAUAAGAAGCCCCGGCUAACUUCGUGCCAGCAGCCGCGGUAAUACGAAGGGGGCUAGCGUUGUUCGGAAUUACUGGGCGUAAAGCGCACGUAGGCGGCUUUCCAAGUUGGAGGUGAAAUCCCCGGGCUUAACCCGGGAACUGCCUCCAAAACUGAAAGGCUAGAGUCCGAGAGAGGUGAGUGGAAUUUCCAGUGUAGAGGUGAAAUUCGUAGAUAUUGGAAAGAACACCAGUGGCGAAGGCGGCUCACUGGCUCGGCACUGACGCUGAGGCGCGAAAGCGUGGGGAGCAAACA